rnacentral:rRNA from 1 species
CCUACGGGAGGCAGCAGUAGGGAAUCUUCCACAAUGGGCGAAAGCCUGAUGGAGCAACGCCGCGUGAGUGAUGAAGGCCUUCGGGUUGUAAAACUCUGUCAUUCGGGACGAACCGGAGUCUGAGGAAAUGCAGACUCUCUGACGGUACCGGAGGAGGAAGCCCCGGCUAACUACGUGCCAGCAGCCGCGGUAAUACGUAGGGGGCAAGCGUUGUCCGGAUUCACUGGGCGUAAAGCGCGCGCAGGCGGUGAUGUAAGUCUGAGGUGAAAACCCGAAGCUCAACUUCGGGACUGCCUUGGAUACUGCGUCACUUGAGGAUAGGAGAGGCAAGGGGAAUUCCACGUGUAGCGGUGAAAUGCGUAGAGAUGUGGAGGAACACCUGUGGCGAAGGCGCCUUGCUGGCCUAUUUCUGACGCUGAGGCGCGAAAGCGUGGGGAGCAAACAGGAUUAGAUACCCUGGUAGUCCACGCUGUAAACGAUGAGUGCUAGGUGUAGGUGGGCUCAUACCCAUCUGUGCCGAAGCUAACGCAUUAAGCACUCCGCCCUGGGGAGUACGGUCGCAGCUGAAACUCAAAGGAAUUGACGGCNGNGAGNGCGAGGCGACACGAGGGAGAGG